CAGCAGCCGCGGUAAUACGGAGGGGGCUGGCGUUGUUCGGAAUUACUGGGCGUAAAGCGCACGUAGGCGGCUUGGUAAGUUAGAGGUGAAAGCCUGGAGCUCAACUCCAGAAUUGCCUUUAAGACUGCCGAGCUAGCAGGUGAGAGAGGUAAGUGGAAUUCCGAGUGUAGAGGUGAAAUUCGUAGAUAUUCGGAAGAACACCAGUGGCGAAGGCGGCUUACUGGCUCAUACUGGACGCUGAGGUGCGAAAGCGUGGGGAGCAAACAGGAUUAGAUACCCGCGUAGUCCCUGUCUCUUAUAC
rnacentral:rRNA from 1 species